UUGGCCGAGGACAGGUCGAGCGAAGUGGGGAUCUUGAAGGCGAUGUCCACAGUGCUUAUACCUGAACUUGAGCCAUGGUGGCAUAUUCAUCCUCACCUCAGCACCACAGACAUUGUCAAAGGAAUGCUGAUCAGAUCAGAUCAAUCUCACACCAAAUCUUUCCAGAUGCAGUCAAUGCAACAGACUCUUCACACUGAAGGUUUGUCCCCAGUGGAUUCCUGUUUCAUGUUUAGCUAACAUGCCACAGCUGUCAGCUUCUGAGUCCAGUGGGAGCCAGCCGGGAGGGUAACCGUCCAAUGAAAAUCCAUUCUCAGGUCUUCUCUCUCUAUUCCCCUCCAAAACAGUUUCUUCUCCUUUCUCAGUGCAAAGAGAGAGAGAGAGAAAAAACAAAACAAGAGAAGGCAACUCAUUAAAAGGGGAAG